GGGCAACCUGCCUGUAAGACUGGGAUAACUUCGGGAAACCGGAGCUAAUACCGGAUAAUCCUUUUCCUCUCAUGAGGAAAAGCUGAAAGACGGUUUACGCUGUCACUUACAGAUGGGCCCGCGGCGCAUUAGCUAGUUGGUGAGGUAACGGCUCACCAAGGCGACGAUGCGUAGCCGACCUGAGAGGGUGAUCGGCCACACUGGGACUGAGACACGGCCCAGACUCCUACGGGAGGCAGCAGUAGGGAAUCUUCCGCAAUGGACGAAAGUCUGACGGAGCAACGCCGCGUGAGUGAUGAAGGUUUUCGGAUCGUAAAACUCUGUUGUUAGGGAAGAACAAGUACAAGAGUAACUGCUUGUACCUUGACGGUACCUAACCAGAAAGCCACGGCUAACUACGUGCCAGCAGCCGCGGUAAUACGUAGGUGGCAAGCGUUGUCCGGAAUUAUUGGGCGUAAAGCGCGCGCAGGCGGUCCUUUAAGUCUGAUGUGAAAGCCCACGGCUCAACCGUGGAGGGUCAUUGGAAACUGGGGGACUUGAGUGCAGAAGAGAAGAGUGGAAUUCCACGUGUAGCGGUGAAAUGCGUAGAGAUGU
rnacentral:rRNA from 1 species